rnacentral:misc_RNA from 1 species
AAGUCGUAACAAGGUUUCCGUAGGUGAACCUGCGGAAGGAUCAUUAAAGAGAUAGGGCCUUCUUGGGGCCCCGGAACUCCCAAAACCCCCCCCUGGUUUUGGUUUAUUAAAACCAAACCCCCUUUUUUUUUGGCCCUUUUUUUGGGGGGGGGAACCCGGUCUUCCGGUCUCCGAGCGCACUAACCCUCGGGUUGGUGAGCGCCCGCCAGAGUCCAACCAAACUCUUGUAUUAAACCAGUCGUCUGAGUAUAAAAUUUUAAUUAAAUUAAAA